rnacentral:rRNA from 1 species
AACGAACGCUGGCGGCAGGCUUAACACAUGCAAGUCGAACGCAUCGCAAGAUGAGUGGCAGACGGGUGAGUAACGCGUGGGAACAUACCCUUUUCUGCGGAAUAGCUCUGGGAAACUGGAAUUAACACCGUAUACGCCCUACGGGGGAAAGAUUUAUCGGGGAAGGAUUGGCCCGCGUUGGAUUAGCUAGUUGGUGGGGUAAAGGCCUACCAAGGCGACGAUCCAUAGCUGGUCUGAGAGGAUGAUCAGCCACAUUGGGACUGAGACACGGCCCAAACUCCUACAGGAGGCAGCAGUGGGGAAUAUUGGACAAUGGGCGCAAGCCUGAUCCAGCCAUGCCGCGUGAGUGAUGAAGGCCUUAGGGUUGUAAAGCUCUUUCACCGAUGAAGAUAAUGACGGUAGUCGGAGAAGAAGCCCCGGCUAACUUCGUGCCAGCCGCCGCAGUAACAC